rnacentral:rRNA from 1 species
AGCUCCAAUAGCGUAUAUUCAAGUUGUUGCAGUUAAAAAGCUCGUAGUUGAAUUUUGGGCCUGGCUAGGCGGUUUAGCCGCAAGGUUAGCACUGCUUUGGUUGGGCCUUUCCUUCUGGGGAACUAGCGUGCGCUUUAUUGAGUGCGUUAGGGAUCCAGGACUGUUACUUUGAAAAAAUUAGAGUGUUUAAAACAGGCUUAUGCUUGAAUACAUUAGCAUGGAAUAACGGAAUAGGACUUUGUUUCUAUUUUGUUGGUUUUCAGAAACGAAGUAAUGAUUAAUAGGGAUAGUUGGGGGCAUUAGUAUUCCAUUGUCAGAGGUGAAAUUCUUGGAUUUAUGAAAGACUAACUUCUGCGAAAGCAUUUGCCAAGGAUGUUUUCA